GACGAACGCUGGCGGCGUGCCUAAUACAUGCAAGUAGAACGCUGAAGAGAGGAGCUUGCUCUUCUUGGAUGAGUUGCGAACGGGUGAGUAACGCGUAGGUAACCUGCCUUGUAGCGGGGGAUAACUAUUGGAAACGAUAGCUAAUACCGCAUAACAAUGGAUGACUCAUGUCAUUUAUUUGAAAGGGGCAAAUGCCCCACUACAAGAUGGACCUGCGUUGUAUUAGCUAGUAGGUGAGGUAACGGCUCACCUAGGCGACGAUACAUAGCCGACCUGAGAGGGUGAUCGGCCACACUGGGACUGAGACACGGCCCAGACUCCUACGGGAGGCAGCAGUAGGGAAUCUUCGGCAAUGGGGGCAGCCCUGACCGAGCAACGCCGCGUGAGUGAAGAAGGUUUUCGGAUCGUAAAGCUCUGUUGUAAGUCAAGAACGAGUGUGAGAGUGGAAAGUUCACACUGUGACGGUAGCUUACCAGAAAGGGACGGCUAACUACGUGCCAGCAGCCGCGGUAAUACGUAGGUCCCGAGCGUUGUCCGGAUUUAUUGGGCGUAAAGCGAGCGCAGGCGGUUUGAUAAGUCUGAAGUUAAAGGCUGUGGCUCAACCAUAGUUCGCUUUGGAAACUGUCAAACUUGAGUGCAGAAGGGGAGAGUGGAAUUCCAUGUGUAGCGGUGAAAUGCGUAGAUAUAUGGAGGGACACCGGUGGCGAAAGCGGCUCUCUGGUCUGUAACUGACGCUGAGGCUCGAAAGCGUGGGGAGCGAACAGG
rnacentral:rRNA from 1 species